UGGGGAAUCUUGCACAAUGGGGGAAACCCUGAUGCAGCGACGCCGCGUGAGCGAUGAAGCCCUUCGGGGUGUAAAGCUCUUUCGGCAGGGAAGAUGAUGACGGUACCUGCAGAAGCAGCUGCGGCUAACUACGUGCCAGCAGCCGCGGUAAUACGUAGGCAGCAAGCGUUGUUCGGAGUUACUGGGCGUAAAGAGUGCGUAGGCGGUUUUCUAAGUUCGGUGUGAAAUCUCCCGGCUUAACUGGGAGGGUGCGCCGAAGACUGGGAAGCUGGAGUGUGGGAAAGGCUGGCGGAAUUCCGGGUGGAGCGGUGAAAUGCGUAGAUAUCAGGAGGAACACCGGCGGUGUAGACGGCUUGCUAGACCAUAACUGACGCUGAGGCACGAAAGCGUGGGUAGCAAACA
rnacentral:rRNA from 1 species